rnacentral:misc_RNA from 1 species
ACAAACUUGGUCAUUUAGAGGAAGUAAAAGUCGUAACAAGGUCUCCGUUGGUGAACCAGCGGAGGGAUCAUUACAGAGUAUUACACUCCCUAACCCACUGUGAACAUACCUUCUGUUGCUUCGGCGGGGGGCGACCCCUCCCGCCGAAGGUAGCAAAACCCUUGGAUGCAUGUGAUCUUCUGAGUGGCGAAAGCCGAAAGAAAAACGAAUCAAAACUUUCAACAACGGAUCUCUUGGUUCUGGCAUCGAUGAAGAACGCAGC